UUGAAAAUGCUCUAGAUGGUUCUGAAACGUUCUAGAAUGUCCUAGAAGGUCCCGAAAUACUCUAGAAGGUUCUAGAAUACUCUAGAAGGUCAUAGAGUAUUCUAGAAGAGUGUGGAUGUAUAUAGGAGUAUAAAGAGUAGUAUGGAAAAAUCUAGAAGUAUUUAGAAAGUUGUGGUAUG